rnacentral:rRNA from 1 species
UGCUCGAGUGGCGAACGGGUGAGUAACACGUGGGUGAUCUGCCCUGCACUUCGGGAUAAGCUUGGGAAACUGGGUCUAAUACCGGAUAGGACCAUCGUUUAGUGUCGGUGGUGGAAAGUUUUUUAGGUGUGGGAUGAGCUCGCGGCCUAUCAGCUUGUUGGUGGGGUAAUGGCCUACCAAGGCGUCGACGGGUAGCCGGCCUGAGAGGGUGUACGGCCACAUUGGGACUGAGAUACGGCCCAG